GAUGAACGCUGGCGGCGUGCCUAAUACAUGCAAGUCGAGCGAACAGACGAGGAACUUACUCCUCUGACGUUAGCGGCGGACGGGUGAGUAACACGUGGAUAACCUACCUAUAAGACUGGGAUAACUUCGGGAAACCGGAGCUAAUACCGGAUAACAUGUUGAACCGCAUGGUUCAACAGUGAAAGACGGUCUUGCUGUCACUUAUAGAUGGAUCCGCGUCGCAUUAGCUAGUUGGUAAGGUAACGGCUUACCAAGGCAACGAUGCGUAGCCGACCUGAGAGGGUGAUCGGCCACACUGGAACUGCGACACGGUCCAGACUCCUACGGGAGGCAGCAGUAGGGAAUCUUCCGCAAAGGGCGAAAGCCUGACGGAGCAACGCCGCGUGAGUGAAGAAGGUCUUCGGAUCGUAAAACUCUGUUAUUAGGGAAGAACAAAUGUGUAAGUAACUAUGCACGUCUUGACGGUACCUAAUCAGAAAGCCACGGCUAACUACGUG
rnacentral:rRNA from 1 species